rnacentral:rRNA from 1 species
CGCCCUACGGGGGGCAGCAGUGAGGAAUAUUGGUCAAUGGGCGGGAGCCUGAACCAGCCAAGUCGCGUGAGGGAUGACGGCCCUAUGGGUUGUAAACUGCUUUUGUACGAGGGUAAACGCAGAUACGUGUAUCUGUCUGAAAGUAUCGUACGAAUAAGGAUCGGCUAACUCCGUGCCAGCAGCCGCGGUAAUACGGAGGAUUCAAGCGUUAUCCGGAUUUAUUGGGUUUAAAGGGUGCGUAGGCGGUCGGAUAAGUUAGAAGUGAAAUCCCGAGGCUCAACUUCGGAAUUGCCUCUGAUACUGUU